UACAGAGGGGGCAAGCGUUGUUCGGAAUUACUGGGCGUAAAGGGCGCGUAGGCGGCCUGUUAAGUCGGACGUGAAAUCCCUCGGCUCAACCGGGGAACUGCGUCCGAUACUGGCGGGCUUGAAUUCGGGAGAGGGAUGUGGAAUUCCAGGUGUAGCGGUGAAAUGCGUAGAUAUCGGAAGGAACAUCAGUGGCGAAAGCGACUUCCUGGACCAAUACUGACGCUCAUGUGCGAAAGCGUGGGGAGCAAACAGG
rnacentral:rRNA from 1 species